AGUGAACGCUGGCGGUAGGCCUAACACAUGCAAGUCGAACGGCAGCACAGUAAGAGCUCGCUCCUACGGUUGGCGGGUGGCGGACGGGUGAGGAGUACAUCGCAAUCUACUUUUUCUUGGAUGAUAACGUAGGGCCACUUACGCUAAUACCGCAUACGACCUACGGGUGAAAUCAAUAGAUCUUCGGAGCUUUCGCGAUUGAAUUAGCCGAUGCCGGAUUAGCUAGUUGGCGGGGUAAAGGACCACCAAGGCAACGAUCCGUAGCGGAUCUGAGAGGAUGAUCGGCCAAACUGGAACGGAGACACGGUCCAGACUCCUAGGGGAGGCAGCAGUGGGAAACAUCGGAAAAGGGGGGAAAGCCUGAGGAAGCAAGCCCGCGUGGGUGAAGAAGGCCUUCGGGUGGUAAAGCCCUUUUGUAGGGAAAGAAAAGCGGGAAAUUAACUCCGCGCUGUUCUACCGGAACUCAAAAGAUAAGCACCGCCAAACUUCGU
rnacentral:rRNA from 1 species